rnacentral:rRNA from 1 species
CACGUAGGCGGAUCGGAAAGUUGGGGGUGAAAUCCCGGGGCUCAACCCCGGAGCGGCCUCCAAAACUAUCGGUCUAGAGUUCGAGAGAGGUGAGUGGAAUUCCGAGUGUAGAGGUGAAAUUCGUAGAUAUUCGGAGGAACACCAGUGGCGAAGGCGGCUCACUGGCUCGAUACUGACGCUGAGGUGCGAAAGUGUAGGGAGCAAACA